rnacentral:rRNA from 1 species
UACAGAGGGGGCAAGCGUUGUUCGGAAUUACUGGGCGUAAAGGGCGCGUAGGCGGCCUGCUAAGUCGAACGUGAAAUCCCUGGGCUUAACCUGGGAAUGGCAUUUGGGACUGCAAGGCUGGAGUUUGGCAGAGGAGACUGGAAUUCCUGGUGUAGCAGUGAAAUGCGUAGAUAUCAGGAGGAAUACCGAUGGCGAAGGCGGCUUCCUGGCCUGUUCUUGACGCUGAGGCGCGAAAGCUAGGGGAGCAAACGGG